rnacentral:rRNA from 1 species
AACGAACGCUGGCGGCAGGCUUAACACAUGCAAGUCGUACGCAUCGCAAGAUGAGUGGCAGACGGGUGAGUAACGCGUGGGAACAUACCCUUUUCUACGGAAUAGCUCUGGGAAACUGGAAUUAAUACCGUAUACGCCCUACCGGGGAAAGAUUUAUCGGGGAAGGAUUGGCCCGCGUUGGAUUAGCUAGUUGGUGGGGUAAAGGCCUACCAAGGCGACAAUCCAUAGCUGGUCUGAGGGGAUGAUCAGCCACAUUGGGACUGAGACACGGCCCAAACUCCUACGGUAUGCAGUAGUGGGGAAUAUUGGACAAUGGGCGCAAGCCUGAUCCACCCAUGCCGCGUGAGUGAUGAAGGCCUUAGGGUUGUAAAGCUCUUUCACCGAUGAAGAGAAUGACGGUAGUCGGAGAAGAAGCCCCGGCUAACUUCGUGCCAGCAGCCGCGGUAACAC